CGAACGCUGAGCACCAGACUUGCUGGUGUGGAUGAGUGGCGAACGGGUGAGUAAUACGUGAGUAACCUGCCCUUGACUCUGGGAUAAGCCCGGGAAACUGGGUCUAAUACUGGAUGCUACAUGUCACCGCAUGGUGGUGUGUGGAAAGGGUUUACUGGUCUUGGAUGGGCUCACGGCCUAUCAGCUUGUUGGUGAGGUAAUGGCUCACCAAGGCGACGACGGGUAGCCGGCCUGAGAGGGUGACCGGCCACACUGGGACUGAGACACGGCCCAGACUCCUACGGGAGGCAGCAGUGGGGAAUAUUGCACAAUGGGCGAAAGCCUGAUGCAGCGACGCCGCGUGAGGGAUGACGGCCUUCGGGUUGUAAACCUCUUUCAGCAGGGAAGAAGCCACAAGUGACGGUACCUGCAGAAGAAGCGCCGGCUAACUACGUGCCAGCAGCCGCGGUAAUACGUAGGGCGCAAGCGUUGUCCGGAAUUAUUGGGCGUAAAGAGCUCGUAGGCGGUUUGUCGCGUCUGCUGUGAAAGCCCGGGGCUUAACCCCGGGUGUGCAGUGGGUACGGGCAGACUAGAGUGCAGUAGGGGAGACUGGAAUUCCUGGUGUAGCGGUGGAAUGCGCAGAUAUCAGGAGGAACACCGAUGGCGAAGGCAGGUCUCUGGGCUGUUACUGACGCUGAGGAGCGAAAGCAUGGGGAGCGAACAGGAUUAGAUACCCUGGUAGUCCAUGCCGUAAACGUUGGGCACUAGGUGUGGGGGACAU
rnacentral:rRNA from 1 species